CUGACCAGCCUAGCCCUGACCGGCCUCCCGCCCCGGUGGCGGACGUGCCUGUCCCGCAGACGGACCUCAAGCAGCCACGGCGGCCACGGGGGCUGCCUGUCACCCAGCGGGGGGUGAGGGGGCAGCAGCAACACUGCUGCCCCGGGUCCCACGUCGGGAGCGGCGGGAGGCGCCUCUGCAGGGCCCUUGAGGACCUCCGCCAGCCCGGUGGUGACCCAGAGAAGAGAGGCCGACGGUGUCUGUUUUGCUUUCUUUGCUCUUUAUUUCCGCUGGGAGUCCGACAGCGCCCACCUGUCCUUUCUCUUUUCUGAGGAACAAUAACUCCAUCUGGUCGGCAUAGAUGUGCCACUGCAGAAUGCUGAUGUCCGGGCCCGGGACCCUGGCCACGCUCCGGGAGAGAACCGCCACGAUCCAGGUGUGCGUUGAGAAGUUUUUUCCCAGCGCAAGAAGUUUCCCAGUGAGCCUUGGAGUCCUCCUAGAAAUUUCCGGUAUUCUACGUGUGAGAGACUGCCAGUUUCGGAGAAAUUGUGAGAGAGAGGGAAAGAGGCUUGGGUGCCUGCGUCCACUACCUCCGGCUGGACGAGGAGCCUGGGAAGGGUCCUCUUUGGGAGCAGGAUCUUGGAGCAUAUUUAGAAUUCAGAGUUGA
rnacentral:lncRNA from 1 species